GACGAACGCUGGCGGCGUGCUUAACACAUGCAAGUCGAACGGAAAGGCCCUGCUUUUGUGGGGUGCUCGAGUGGCGAACGGGUGAGUAACACGUGAGUAACCUGCCCUUGACUUUGGGAUAACUUCAGGAAACUGGGGCUAAUACCGGAUAGGAGCUCCUGCUGCAUGGUGGGGGUUGGAAAGUUUCGGCGGUUGGGGGUGGACUCGCGGCUUAUCAGCUUGUUGGUGGGGUAGUGGCUUACCAAGGCUUUGACGGGUAGCCGGCCUGAGAGGGUGACCGGCAACAAUGGGACAAAGAGAACGCCGGGCGGCCGGCGGGGGCAGGAAGGGGGGAUUGUGGAUGAAGGGGGGGAAGCUGUAGGCCGCAAUCGCGUGGGCGGAAUGCCGGCCUUCGGUUUGGAAACAGCUUGCGCCUGUAAAGAAGCGGGAGGGACGGUAAGUGGUAAAGAAGAACCGGCUAGUUAGGGG
rnacentral:rRNA from 1 species